UCCAGUCCUGACUCUUCUGUCUCUUGAGGUC
rnacentral:piRNA from 1 species